AUUGAACGCUGGCGGCAGGCCUAACACAUGCAAGUCGAACGGUAACAGGAAACAGCUUGCUGUUUCGCUGACGAGUGGCGGACGGGUGAGUAAUGUCUGGGAAACUGCCUGAUGGAGGGGGAUAACUACUGGAAACGUUACCUAAUACCGCAUAACUUCGCAAGACCAAAGAGGGGGAGCUUCGGGCGUCUUUCCGUCGGAUGUACCCAGAUGGGGUUGGCUUGUUGGGGGGGUUACGGCUCACCAAGGCGACAAUCCCUAGCUGGGCUGAGAGGAUGACCCGCCACACUGGCACUGAGACACGGUCCAGACUCCUACGGGAGGCAGCAGUGGGGAAUAUUGCACAAUGGGCGAAAGCCUGAUGCAGCCAUGCCGCGUGUAUGAAGAAGGACUUCGGGUUGUAAAGUACUUUCAGCGGGGAGGAAGGAAGUCAAGUUAAUACCUUUGCUCAUUGACGUUACCCGCAGAAGAAGCACCGGCUAACUCCGUG
rnacentral:rRNA from 1 species